ACCCAUCUGACGAGUCCAGAAUCGGAUGAAACACGUGUCUUGGAU
rnacentral:hammerhead_ribozyme from 1 species